AGUGAACGCUGGCGGCGUGCCUAAUACAUGCAAGUCGAACGGAGUGGCGCACGGGUGAGUAAUAUAUAGCUAAUCUGCCCCUUGCUGGAGGACAACAGUUAGAAAUGCCUGCUAAUACUCCAUAGCAAGGGCUGGGACUAUAUCGUAUCAGCUAGUCGGUGGGGUAACGGCCUACCGAGGCGAUGACGCGUAACUGGUCUGAGAGGAUGAUCAGUAACAUUGGAACGGAGACACGGGCGAAAAUCCUACGGGAGGCAGCAGUAGGCAAUAUUGCGCAAUGGGGGAAUCCCUGACGGAGCCACGGCGCGUGGAGGAUGACACGUUUCGGAGCGUAAACUCCUUUUGUUAGGGAAGCGGUACCUAACGAAUAAGCACCGGCUAACUCCGUGCCAGCAGCCGCGGUAAUUC
rnacentral:rRNA from 1 species